rnacentral:rRNA from 1 species
GGUAGUGACGAAAAAUAACGAUACGGGACUCUUAACGAGGCCUCGUAAUCGGAAUGAGUCCGCUCUAAAUCCUUUUAACGAGGAUCUAUCGGAGGGCAAGUCUGGUGCCAGCAGCCGCGGUAAUUCCAGCUCCGAUAGCGUAUAUUAAAGUUGCUGCGGUUAAAAAGCUCGUAGUUGGAUUUGGGUUUUCGGGCCGGCGGGCCGCCGCCUUCGAGCGGCGCGUCUCCCGCCGCGCCCCCGGAACCGCACGGUCGCAGAGGCCCCCGCGGUGCUCUUCAAUGAGUGUCCGCCGGUUCGGGUCGCCGAACGUUUACUUUGAAAAAAUUAGAGUGCUCCAGGCAGGCCGGUAAAGCGUUGUUUAAAAAAGACCCGCGCCUGAAUAGUCACGCAUGGAAUAAUGAAAGAGGACUGGUGGUCCUAUUUUGUUGGUUUUCGGGAUUUUCCGCCGUCAUGAUUAAGAGGGACGGCCGGGGGCAUUCGUACCGCGGCGCGAGAGGUGAAAUUCUAGGACCGCCGCGAGACGAACCGUUGCGAAAGCAUUUGCCAAGAAUGUUUUCCUUAAUCAAGAACGAAAGUCAGAGGUUCGAAGGCGAUCAGAUACCGCCCUAGUUCUGACCGUAAACGAUGCCACCUGACGAUCCGCCAGGGUUACUACCAUGACUCGGCGGGCAGCCCCCGGGAAACCCAAGCCUUCGGGUUCCGGGGGAAGUAUGGUUGCAAAGCUGAAACUUAAAGGAAUUGACGGAAGGGCACCACCAGGAGUGGAGCCUGCGGCUUAAUUUGACUCAACACGGGGAACCUCACCCGGCCCGGACACCGCGAGGAUUGACAGAUUGAGAGCUCUUUCUCGAUUCGGUGGGUGGUGGUGCAUGCCCGUUCUUAGUUGGUGGAGCGAUUUGUCUGGUUAAUUCCGAUAACGAACGAGACUCUAGCCGGUUAAGUAGCCCGGAGCGGUUUUUGAUCUUUGCCGUCCGUCCUCCGUCUUACCUUUUUUUUCCCGUCCUCGGCUGACCGGUCAACGGAGGGGAAAGGGAAAAAGGCGAGGAGGUGGUCAUCCGUGGCGGGGUUUCUCCGUUUUCCAUGCGCGUUCGCCCUCACCGGCGGACGUCGCACGGGCGGUGGCCCUGUCCCGGGGAAGCCGUCGCUUCGUUUUUUCCUCCCUGAACCUUCGCCCGGGAGGUCGAGACGGAAAGGGUGGUCGAGGCGGAAGCAUAACCGAAGGCCGCCGGCUUUUACAGGAAGCUUCUUAGAGGGACGAGCGGCGUUCAGCCGCCCGAGAUUGA